rnacentral:rRNA from 1 species
AAUCAACGCUGGCGGCGUGCCUCAGACAUGCAAGUCGAACGCGAAAGUUCCCUUCGGGGGAUGAGUAGAGUGGCGCACGGGUGAGUAACACGUAGGUAAUCUACCUUCGGAUGGGGAAGUAACAACCGGAAACGGUUAGCUAAUACCGCAUAAUGCAGCGGCACCUAAUGGUGACAGUUGUUAAAGACGGGGGAGUCGAAAGACCUCGCGUCUGAAGAGGAGCCUGCGGCGGAUUAGCAGUUGGUAGGGUAACGGCCUACCAAGGCUACGAUCCGUAGCCGGCCUGAGAGGGCGGUCGGCCGACACUGACACUGACAUACGGGUCAGACUCCUACGGGAGGCGAGCAGUCGGGAAUUUGGG